rnacentral:tRNA from 1 species
GCCCGGGUGGCGGAAUUGGGAGACGCGCUAGAUUCAGGGUCUAGUGCCCUUAGGGACGUGCUGGUUCGACUCCAGUCCUGGGCAC